rfam:Lepisosteus oculatus linkage group LG14, whole genome shotgun sequence.
AGGCCCUAGAAAUCAAGUGUGGGUGAGGCCUGGGAUUAAAGCUUUAUGGCGACCCAUACUUGGUUUCUGAGGCUU